rnacentral:tRNA from 1 species
GCCCCCGUAGCCAAGCGGAUAAGGCAGAGGUUUCCUAAACCUCGAUGCGCAGGUUCGAUUCCUGCCGGGGGCGCCA